UACGGGGGGGGCAAGCGUUGUUCGGAAUUACUGGGCGUAAAGGGUCUGUAGGUGGCUUGCUAAGUCAGACGUGAAAUCCCUCAGCUUAACUGGGGAACUGCGUCUGAGACUGGCGAGCUUGAGGGCAGGAGAGGAACGCGGAAUUCCAGGUGUAGCGGUGAAAUGCGUAGAUAUCGGGAGGAACACCAGUGGCGAAGGCGGCUACCUGGCCCACUCUUGACGCUGAGGCGCGAAAGCUAGGGGAGCAAACGGG
rnacentral:rRNA from 1 species